rnacentral:ncRNA from 1 species
AAAAUAAAUAGAAAGAGUUUGAUGUUGGCUCAGUGCGAUUGCUAUUCAGAUGCAUAAUACAUGCGAAUCAAACGAGAAUUAAUCAAAAAAGGUUAAGGAUUAAAGUGGUGUACUCGUGAGUAUAUAAUGGUAAUAUGAACUAUGUAAGGAAAAUAAAUAGUAAAAUAUUUAUGAGGUUAAAUACCUUUAAAGAUGAAAGAUCGAACAUAGUCAAGCUAUUAUGAAUAUUAGGUAGUAGGAUGUUUAAUAGAACAACCUAGCCAAAGAUAUUAAGUUGGUUAUUAGUGUAAGUCCAAUCACGUUGACUAUGAAAGAGCAGUCAAUAUCUUAAUUAAGAUACAGCAGUAAGGAAUAUUUGUCAAUGAGCGAAAGCUUGAACAAGCAAUCUGAAAAAGUGAAAAAAAAUUUAAUAUACCGCCUUAGGGUGGUAUGUGACUAAAAAUAAAAUUAAAAUAGUAAUAUUUUAAUAAUAAUAAAUUUUAAAUGAUAAAAUAUAAAGCUUUAACAUAAUAGAAAAUAAUGAUAUUAUAUUAUGAAAUAGUUCUUACUAAAUGGCGUGCCAGCAGUAGCGGUUAUACGUCGAGAACAAGUAAUGCACAUUAUAGGCUUAAAGGGUUAGUAGAAUGGUCAUAAAAAAAAUAAAUAUAUUUUUAAUAUAUUUAUUUGACUAGAGUACUUAAAAAAGAUAUAUGAAUUAUAAGAGUAAUGGUUAAAUAUAGUGAUACUUAUGAGACAACUAAGAAAUGAAGAUCUAUAUCAAAAAAGUACUGACAUUGAGGAACGAAAGCUUAAGUAGCGAAACGGAUUAGUAACCCGUAUAGUUUAAGCAGUAAACGAUGAAUGUUAAAAAUUAAUUUAAUUUGAAGUGAAAACGAAAACAUUCCGCCUGGGAAGUAUAAGCGCAAGCUAUAAACUCAAAACAAUAGACGGUAUAAGUUAUACACAGUGGAUCAUGUAGUUUAAUUCGAUAAUCCGCGAGAACCUUACCAUCCUUUGUAUUUAUUAUUUUUAAUAUAACAAGUGUUACAUAGCUGUCUUUAGUUCAUGCCGUAAGGUAUUAGGUUAAGUCCAUUAAUGAACAAAAUCCUUCUUAAUUAAAUAUUUUUUUUAAUAAUUAAAAUAUAAGGUCUAUACACCCUUAUUAAUAGGAUUAAGACAAGUCAUCAUGACCUUAAUAGGAUGGGCUAUAUACGUGAUACAAAUAUACAUACAAAAUCAAGUAAGACCAUAAUUUUUAAUUAAAUUAUUUUCAAUGUCAAACAAUAGAUAGAAAAUGUAUAACACAUAAGCUCUUAGAGCUUUAUAUAAUAUAUGGAUCAUAUACUGUAACUCGUAUAUGUGAAAAAGGAAUUGUGAGUAAUACGUAAUAAAGCACAUUACGGUGAAAUAUUCUCUUAUGCGUACUAAUCACUCAUCAUUCGCUUGAAUAAUUUACAUACUAAAGUUUAUAAUUUCUUAUAGAUUAUUAUUUUCUAUCAUUUAUUCUAAUAAUCUAUAUUUUUACUUUAUAAAUUAUGUACUAAAUUUGACAAGUGAGAAGUUGAAAUAUAGUUGUGGUAGAGGAAUCUGCUGCGGGCUUUUAAUAAAUAUUGACUAUCCCCCC